GGCCUCGCGGUUGUCGAACACGCCAGAAUGCAAAUCUGGAGACGCACCCCAGUUGUGGUGCCGGGGCUU
rnacentral:tRNA from 1 species